AGAGUUUGAUCAUGGCUCAGAUUGAACGCUGGCGGCAGGCCUAACACAUGCAAGUCGAACGGUAACAGGAAGAAGCUUGCUUCUUUGCUGACGAGUGGCGGACGGGUGAGUAAUGUCUGGGAAACUGCCUGAUGGAGGGGGAUAACUACUGGAAACGGUAGCUAAUACCGCAUAACGUCGCAAGACCAAAGAGGGGGACCUUCGGGCCUCUUGCCAUCGGAUGUGCCCAGAUGGGAUUAGCUAGUAGGUGGGGUAACGGCUCACCUAGGCGACGAUCCCUAGCUGGUCUGAGAGGAUGACCAGCCACACUGGAACUGAGACACGGUCCAGACUCCUACGGGAGGCAGCAGUGGGGAAUAUUGCACAAUGGGCGCAAGCCUGAUGCAGCCAUGCCGCGUGUAUGAAGAAGGCCUUCGGGUUGUAAAGUACUUUCAGCGGGGAGGAAGGGAGUAAAGUUAAUACCUUUGCUCAUUGACGUUACCCGCAGAAGAAGCACCGGCUAACUCCGUGCCAGCAGCCGCGGUAAUACGGAGGGUGCAAGCGUUAAUCGGAAUUACUGGGCGUAAAGCGCACGCAGGCGGUUUGUUAAGUCAGAUGUGAAAUCCCCGGGCUCAACCUGGGAACUGCAUCUGAUACUGGCAAGCUUGAGUCUCGUAGAGGGGGGUAGAAUUCCAGGUGUAGCGGUGAAAUGCGUAGAGAUCUGGAGGAAUACCGGUGGCGAAGGCGGCCCCCUGGACGAAGACUGACGCUCAGGUGCGAAAGCGUGGGGAGCAAACAGGAUUAGAUACCCUGGUAGUCCACGCCGUAAACGAUGUCGACUUGGAGGUUGUGCCCUUGAGGCGUGGCUUCCGGAGCUAACGCGUUAAGUCGACCGCCUGGGGAGUACGGCCGCAAGGUUAAAACUCAAAUGAAUUGACGGGGGCCCGCACAAGCGGUGGAGCAUGUGGUUUAAUUCGAUGCAACGCGAAGAACCUUACCUGGUCUUGACAUCCACGGAAGUUUUCAGAGAUGAGAAUGUGCCUUCGGGAACCGUGAGACAGGUGCUGCAUGGCUGUCGUCAGCUCGUGUUGUGAAAUGUUGGGUUAAGUCCCGCAACGAGCGCAACCCUUAUCCUUUGUUGCCAGCGGUCCGGCCGGGAACUCAAAGGAGACUGCCAGUGAUAAACUGGAGGAAGGUGGGGAUGACGUCAAGUCAUCAUGCCCCUUACGACCAGGGCUACACACGUGCUACAAUGGCGCAUACAAAGAGAAGCGACCUCGCGAGAGCAGGCGGACCUCAUAAAGUGCGUCGUAGUCCGGAUUGGAGUCUGCAACUCGACUCCAUGAAGUCGGAAUCGCUAGUAAUCGUGGAUCAGAAUGCCACGGUGAAUACGUUCCCGGGCCUUGUACACACCGCCCGUCACACCAUGGGAGUGGGUUGCAAAAGAAGUAGGUAGCUUAACCUUCGGGAGGGCGCUUACCACUUUGUGAUUCAUGACUGGGGUGAAGUCGUAACAAGGUA
rnacentral:rRNA from 1 species